rnacentral:lncRNA from 1 species
AGCCACAGCAACGCAGGAUCCGAGCCACAUCUGCAACCUACACCACAGCUCAUGGCAACGCCUGAUCCUUAACCCACUGAGCAAGGGCAGGGAUUGAACCCGCAACCUCAUGGUUCCUACUCGGAUUCCUUAACCACUGUGCCGUGACGGGAACUCUUAAAACAAUUGUUUUGAAUGUAAAGACAGAAAAUGUUAUGUUGAAGUAUGAAAAGUACAAAAAUUUCUGCCUCCGAGAAUGAAAAGUAUAAUUGUUUUUAAAAUUUAAGUUCUUUAGGGAGUUUCCUGUCAUCUUUCUGUUAUUAACUUCUAGUUGAAUUAUAUUACGGUUUUAGAAAAUACUUUGUAUACUUUCAAUUUUUUUUAAUGUAUAUUAGGCUUUGCUUUCUGUGAAUGUUGUAUGUGUACUUAAAAAGAGUAUGACUUCUAUUAUUGUUGCAUGGAAUGUUGUAUAACCACUGCAGAGGUUUCCUUAGUUGAUGAUCUUGUUCAGUCUUAGGCUCUUGCUGAUUUUCUGCCUGUUAAUUCUAAUACUGACAGAGAAGUGUUGAAGUAUACUUGUCAAUUUGUCUAUUUCUUAUUUUGUCAGUUUUUGUUUCACAUAUUACGAAGCUCUGUUUGGUGCUAAAUACAUUUAAUUGUUGUGGCUUCUUGUUGAAUUGACUAUUUUACCAUUAUGUAAUUCCACUUUAUGCGUGGUAAUUUUCUUUGCUCUGAGGUCUGUUUUUGUCUUUAAAGAAUAUAGCCAAUUUCUACUUGUUUUUCUUUAUUUCAUUUUUAUUGACAAGAUUUUCUAUUUCAGUAUUUGUUGCAAGAAUGUGACUGCUUGUAUGAGCAUUUUUAUAAUAGUUGUUUUACAGUCUUAUCUUACUGGAAUUUUUCAUGAUUUAAUUCAUGUUAUGCAAACUUGGCAAUCAUGCUUCUGAAGUAAUAUUGUGCCAUUUCUUCUGCAUCAUAUGUGCAUAAUAUCAGUUUGUCUUAAUACAUGGAUGUUAACUUUUGAUCUCUUGGUUAAAGUAUACCAGGGUUUUCCACUGUAAAGUUACUGCUUUUCCCUUUCAAUUUUAUAUGUAUCUUAUGGAGAUAUAAUUUGAGAUUAUGCAAAUGUCUUUUUUUUUUUUUUUUUUUUUUUUUUUGUCUUUUUAGGGCCGCAGCCAUGGCAUAUGGUUCCCAGGCUAGUGGUCGAAUCGGAGCUGUAGCUGCUGGUCUUUGCCACAGUCAUAGCAACGUGGGAUCUGAGCUGCGUCUGUGAUCUACAUCACAGAUCACGACAAUGCCAGAUCCUUAACCCAUUGAGCAAGGUGAGAGCUUGAACCCGUGUUCUUAUGGAUACUACUUUGUUUUAUUAUUGCUGAGCCACCACAGGAACUCCAAAUGUCGUGUUUCUUAUCAUGCCAUGAUGAUUGUGUUAGUUUUUAUCUCAUUUUGUUUAAAAUUUCCAUUAUUCCUUCCAAAUUUAUUAAUUGGAAUUCUGCAAGGAAGAGCUGUCCCUUCUCACCAUUUUAUUUAUUUAACAAGAUAUUUAUGUUAGUAUGGACUCACUGAUAUUUAUUUCAUUUUUUUGGUUAUAAUACUAUCAUUAUUUUGUUGCUGUGGCUGACAGGUUUUGGCCAUUGGCUUUCACCAUUAGAUUGGCUCUUCUGUCCUUUUAAUAUGUUCCCAUGUUUAUUGAACAUUGCUAUAACUUUCUAACACCACAGUAUAUUUUAGGCACAUCUUGUUUUGCCACCACCCCAACUCUGGCAUUGGUCCUUUCUAUAGGGAAUCCUGGUUUCCGUUUUCAGAGAACAGUUUUUAGAAAACUAUUUCUGUGCUCAUUGCUGCUGGGAUAUCAUUUUUUCCAGACCUUCACAAUCAAUAAAGCUUGGAAGUAUACAUUUAUAUGCACAUACAUAGACAUCCCUAUUUCUAUGUAUAUUUUACUGUAUGUUUGUGUUUAUGUAUGGUUUUCUUUCAUGUGUUUUCCAUGUUAAACCAUGAAUUCCUAUUACUGUGUCUGAUUCCAGUUAAAAGUUCAGGAUUCUUUUUAUUCUAGUCUUUUUUUUUUCUUAAAUAUAAUUCAUUUUUUUUUGAAAAUGAGAACCCUGACUCUCAUUAUUCUCAGCAUAUAUACUUGAUUACUCAGUUUUAGAACGUUAGAAUUUUUUGUUUUUGUGUAUAUGUCUAAACCAUGAAGAGUUUCAGAAUUACUAAAAUAGACCCUUCUGAGAAGCAAAUUUCCUAACUACAGUAUUUCUGUACAGUUCUGUUUGCCUUUAGUCUUACAGUGUAUAGUCAAAAAUACUGUUUGUUAUUUUAUUAUCCACCCUGUUUGGUUUGUUUCUGUCAUCUAUUUGGUUUACACUUAGGUUUGUUAUUAUUUGCAUUCCAUUUUGAGAUUCCCUUACAUGCUGGUAAGGUUGAAUAUGUGUUUACUUUUUGGUUGUAUGAAACAUUACCAUGGUUCCAAGUGUCAGAUCUGUACAAAAAGGUUUACAAAGAGAAGUGUCACUCCCUUCCACAUUUCUAAUACCUUUUCCCCAUUUUCUGAUCCUUACUACCCUAUUCCCAACCACCUCCUGUAGGUAACCCAUCUUAGUAGUUUCUGCUCUAUCCUUGUGUUUCUUUUUUGCACAAAUAAACUAGUACAUGUAUAUUUUUAUAUAUCUCAUUUUUUAUUACAUGAAAGAUUGCACUCUAUAGCUGUGGUUUUGGAUUUUUUUUUUCUCAUUUCCAGUGUAUACGGGAAAUCAAUUCAUAUCAGGUCAUAGAGAUUUUCCUCAUUCUUUGUUUUUAUUGCUACAUUGUACCUCAUUGUUUGGAUGGACUGUAAUUUAUUUAACUCUUGCGUAUGGACAUUGAGAUUUUUUCUGGUGUUUCCCAAUUGCAAACAAGGCUAAAAUGAAUAAAUUUGUAUAUAUAAAUUUUCAUUUUGUUUAAUAUAUAUCUAUGGGAUAGAUAGUCCUAUAAGUUAUUAGUUGCUUUUAAAUAUUACCAAAUAUCCCUUCCAAAAAUGAUUGUACAGUUUGCAUUGCACCAUUCAUAUAUGGGAGUUCCUAUGUCCUCACAACUUUGCCAACUGAAUGUGUUUUCCUCAUAGACAUCUGUGUCUAUAUGUAUGUAUUUGUUUUAAGCAAAUGUAGGAUCUUAACGAACAUGCUGUUUUUAUUUUUUCCGUUUAACAAUAAACCAUAGUCAUAAGUGUGUGUGUGUUGUAUGUGUUUGUAUAUGUAUAUAUGCACACAUAAUGCAUUAGGUACACAUAGGUACAUAUAUUUGCAGUGGCUUCUUACUUUUCCUUUAUACGUAUUUAUCACAUUUAGUCAAGCCUGUCUUAAUGAAACUUUUUUCCGUCUUUUAUGUAUCAUAUACAAUGGUGUGAUUAUUUUGGAAUAGUUGUAAACUCACAUAUAGUUGUAAGAAAUAGCACAGAGAGAGCCCAUGUAUUGUUUACCUAGUUCUCAGUGGUAACAUUUUUCAAAAUAUGCGGAAAUACAAUAAGGGUAUCGAUAUUGAUACAGUCCAGUCACUGAUUUUAUUCACAUUUCUCAAUUUUCGUAUUUUAAAAAUAUUGCCAAUCUGGUGAGGAAUGACAUCUCAGUGAAUUUUAAAUUUGCAUUAAAAAUUUUUUUGAGUGAGUUUGAUCAUUUUCUCAAUUUAAAUAUCAUCUUUAUAAGUUUUUUUAUGUGAGUAACUACUUCUUUUCCCAUUUAGCUAUUGGAUUUUUUUUUUUUUAAUGGCCACACCUGUAGCAUAUGGAUGUUCCAGGGCUAGGGACUGAAUUGGAGUUACAGCUGAGGCCUACGCCACUGCCAUGACAAUACAAGAUCCAAACCUCAUCUGUAACGUAUGCCACAGCUUAUAGCAACGCCAGAUCCUCAACCCACUGAACAAGGCCAGGGAUUACUGGGUCCUUAACUCUUUGAACCACAAUGAGAACUUCUCCAUUGGAUUUUUGAUAAUUUUUUCCUGCAAUUUUAAAGAAUUCUUUAUAUGUUUAAAGGGAUGUGGCCCUAUGUGGAAAUAAAUUGCAAAUAUUUUCUCCAAGUUUGUUGUCUUCCUUUUUUUUUUCAAUUUAGAUAUCACUUACAAAUAAUUUAAAAUAGACAACGCCAUAGAUUUUUGUUUAUUCAUUCACUGAUUGAAGGACUUUUUGGCCUCUCCAGUUUUUGCCUCUAUGAAUAUUUGCAUACCAGUUUUGAUAUAUAGAUAUAUUAUUUUCAUCUUAGGGAAAUACCUAGGGGUAGGAUUACUGGAUCAUAUUUUAAGAGUAUGUCUAACUUAUUUAUGUCUCUUGAGACUGACAGUUUUCAAACAAAGCUUUAUCAUUUUAUAUUCCCACCUGAAAUGUAUAAAAGUUUACAGUUGUUCUUCAUCUUUACUAGCACUUCAUAUUUUUUUCUUAAAGCUAUUCUAGUAGGUGUUUAGUAGUAUCUUAUCAAUUUUAAUUUGCAUUUCUCUAGUGACUAUGAUGUUGGAUAUCUUUUCAUGUGUUAUUCGACAUCUGUAUCUUCUUUGGUGAAAUGUCCUAUUUUUUUGACCAUUUUUAAUUGAGUUGUUUGUCUUAAUUUGAGGUAGCAUGUUUCUUUAUAUUUUCCAGAUAGAAGCCCUUUGUCAGACAUGUAUUGUGAAUAUUUUCUCCCAUUGUUUGUGAUGCAUUUUUAUUUUCUUAAAGGAUAUCAUUCAGAGAUGAGAAAUUUUUUUGAUGAAAUUCCUUCAUGAUUGUUUUUAAUGGUUUGUGGAUUUAAAAAAUUUUACAUGAAGAAUACUUAUGUAAUACCAAGUUGGGAAAAAUAUUGUUUUCUUCUAGGAGUUUCAUAAUUUUACUUCUUAUGUUUAGGUCUUUGAUCCAUUUCAAGUUAAUUUUUACAUUUUGCAUUAAGUAAUGGUCAAUGCCUAUUAUUUUUGCAUGUGGAUAUUCAGUUGUUCUAGCAUUAUUGCUGGAAAAGACUUCCCUUUUCUUAUUGAACUGACUUGACACCUUUGUCAGAAACGAUUUGUCUGUGUAUUUGUUGCUCUAGUUCUGUUCCAUUUUGUUCCUUUGAUCUGUUUUUUUCCCCUUUUACUAAUACCAUGAUCUUGAUUAUUGUAGAUUUUUAUUAAGUCAUCAUGUAUUUUGUCUUUAAACAUUUUUCUCUUCUAAAAAAUUGCUUUAACUAUUCUAGCUUAUUUCCAUUGCCCAUAUAAAUUUCGGUAGCUGUUUUAUCUGGAAGUAAUUUUUGGCUUUUUCUUUCAGAAAAUUCUCAUAGAUAAUUUUUGUUUCUGAGUAUUUUAAAGUUAGAUAAUGACUUUCUUCUGUGUUUAUACUUAAAAAACAACAGCAUAGUAAUUUUAGUUCACCCUUUCUUUUUCUCAGAACUUUGUUAUACUUGCUCUGUUCUCUGGCAUUUCAAUAUUGCUGUGGAUAAUUCUGGAGAAAGCCUGUUCCCCUUCUCUCCACUAGAUACUUAGUUCUCUUUUCUUAAACUAAAGCAUUUUAAAUUAAUAAAUUUUAUUUUAUAGAACAGUUUUAGACAUACAGAAAAAUCAAGCAGAUAGUACAGAGAGUUCCUAUAAGAAUUCUCAAUGGGUAGGUAAUAUUUUGAUACUACCUUCUCUACCCAAUCACAGAGUUCGCCCAUUUUGCACCAGUGUGGUACACUUAUUACAGCUAAUGAACCAUUAUUCAUAUAUUACUAUUAACUAUAUUCUAUAAAGUUCACUCUUUGUGUAUAACACUAUGGGUUUGAUAAAUGCAUGAUAUCAUGUAUCCAGCAUUACAGUAUCACACAGAAUAGUUUCUUCUGUGCUCCAUCUGUUCAUCCUUCCCUCUCCUCCCAAUCCCAGCAACCAUUGAUCCUUUUACUGUCUCUAUAGUUUUGCCUUUUCCAUGUUGCAUAGUCAGAAUUAUACAAUAUGCAUCCCUAUCCCUUCUUUCACUUAAUAUGCAUUAAAGUUUCCUUCAUGUCUUUUCAUACCUUGAUAGCUCAUUUCUUUUUAGUGCUGAAAAAUAUUCCAUUGUCUUGAUAUAUUGUUUACCAUUCACCAAUUAAAGAACAUCUUGGUUGCUUCUGAUUUUUCAUGACUGAUAUAUUGUUGUUACCUGAAGUCCAUAGCUUUAUGAAUAGAGCUGCUAUAAACAUGAAUGUGCAGGCUGUUUUGCAGAGAAAAGUUUUUAGCUCCUUUGGGUAAAUAUCAAGGAAUGUGAUUGCUGGAUUAUAUGGUAAGAGUAUGUUUAGUUUUGUGUGUAGUAGUAUCUCAUCAUUUUAAUUUGCAAUUCUCUUAUGAUAUAUAGUGUUGAGUAUCUUUUCAUAUUCUUAAUUUGCCAUUUGUGUAUCUUCUUUGGUGAGGUGACUAUUCAGAUAUUUUGUUUAUUUUCUUGACUGAAUUUCUUAUUUUCUUAUUGAGUUUUUUAAAAUAUUAAAUGAUUUUUUCCAUUAUAGCUGGUUUAUAGUGUUCUGUCAAUUUUCUGCUGUACAGCAAAGUGACCCAGUCACGCAUAUAUAUAUAUAUACAUUCUUUUUCUCACAUUAUUCUCCAUCAUGCUCCAUCAUAAGUGACUAGAUAUAGUUCCCAGUACUAUACAGCAGGAUCUCAUUGCUUAUCCAUUAUCAUUGAGUUUUAAGAGUUCUUUGUAUAUUUUGGGUACAGGUCAUUUAUCUGAUAUGUAUUUUGCAAAUAUUUUCUCCUACUAUGGCUUGUCUCUCUUCUUUGUAUUGUGUUCCACAGAGUAGUACUAUUUAAUAAAGUCCAACUUAUCAAUUUUUUUUUCAUCAAGAUUUUCUUUAAUGGAUCAUGCUUUGUUGUUGUAUCUAAAAUGUAUUUAAAGGAAGUAUUUAAGACAAUUAUGGUAUAGAUGGGGGAGGGUGAAGGACAUAAAGGAAGGUUGGUUUCUACAUUUAACUUGAGCUAGUAGAAUGUUGACACAGUAAACUGCAAUAAGUAAUGUAUAUAUAAUAUGGAACAACCACUAAAAACCAUAUAAAGAAAAAUGCUAAUAACACAAGCAAUAAAUCAGAGUU